GAGCCUAUAGCUCAGCGGUAGAGCAUCUGACUUUUAAUCAGAGGGUCCUGGGUUCGAAUCCCAGUGGGCUCA
rnacentral:tRNA from 1 species